rnacentral:rRNA from 1 species
AUUGAACGCUGGCGGCAGGCUUAACACAUGCAAGUCGAGCGAGCGGCGGACGGGUGAGUAAUGUCUGGGAAACUGCCUGAUGGAGGGGGAUAACUACUGGAAAGCGUAGCUAAUACCGCAUACCAUCAGACGUGCCCACAUGGGACUAGCUAGUAGGUGGGGUAAUGGCUCACCUAGGCGACGAUCCCUAGCUGGUCUGAGAGGAUGACCCGCCACACUGGACCUGAGUCACGGUCCAGCCUCCUACGGGAGGCAGCAGUGGGGAGUAGUGCACAAUUGGCGCAAGCCUGAUGCAGCCAUGCCGCGUGUGUGAAGAAGGCCUUCGGGUUGUAAAGCACUUUCAGCGAGGAGGCGUUACUCGCAGAAGAAGCACCGGCUAACUCCAUGCCAGCAGCCGCGGUAAUAC